UGAAAAUUCGAAAUUACGUAAAAUUUUUAACGUAUUCUUCCUUUUCGCGAGGAAAGGAAAAUGGUAAUUUUUAAAAUGUUGGCAAUAGUUCUAGAUUCGCGAGAAAAGGAAUGAUAAUUUUUAAGAUGUUGGCAGUAAUUAGCAUCUCUAUCCUGUAUUCUCGACAUCGAUUUCCUAUUGGUUCCAGUGAAUUGUUUCAUGUAACCAGAUCGUGCAUGUGUCAUAAUACUUUGAAUGAAAAAAAAAAAAAACGAAUAAGAAAAUGAUAUGUUGAAAUAAUAUACGAAGAGGAGAUUGCACGCGUUUGCGCUGAUAGGAUGUUGUCCUAGGUCAGGUCCGAGCAUGCUUGGUACAUGCACUGUUACGGAUGAUCGAUAUGAUGGUUACCGGCUAAUAUCAUCAGCUGAUUGGUUGAUCAUAUGCCAAAACGAUUCGAUUCGUCAGGUGGUUUCAUUCAGCUUUUUCACUGACUUCAUUAGUACAUUCGUAUAUAUACAUAUAUAUGUAUAAGAUAUAAAAAAAAAGAAAAGUGUUCAGAAUGUAAUGUAAAUGCUCAUUUAAUGUAAUAAAACGUUUAAAUAUUAAAUAAAUGGGAAUAAGUAAUCUGUUUCCAACUCUCGAUUUUAAUAUAUAUUCCGAAAAAACAGAAGAGGUCAAGUAAUACACACUUGUUGUAACUACGUUUACGCCGCGUAAAAAUAAAAGUUUGACUUAAUGACGACGAUUCUAUAAAUACCAUCGAUAGCCUUCGUUACAAAACUAUCGACUUCCGAUUUGAAUUGGAACGUCUAGAGGUUUUCUUAUGGUCAUCAAACUACUCUACACUAUACUGGAUUGUUAAAUGGUUAUAAUUUUUUCAUAAUGCGUCUAUCUUCGUCACGAUCUACUGGUGAAUUAUUCAUUAUAUUUAUUCGUCAAUAUUUAUUCGUAAACAUUAAUUAUUUAUGAAAUUAAAAAAGAGGAAUCUGAAUAUGAUCGUGUGUUUGAUAAAGACAGCUUCCCCAAGUCGUAUUGAACGAGCAGGCUUGGUCGUCAAGUCUGGUGGCGUUUCUGCCGAGGGCAACGCCCUCGCCAGCCCUCUCAUCCCCAUUCAGAAGAAACGUCGAAGAAAAAGAGGGAUGUCCCGAGGACGGGAAGGGUAAGCUUUCAACAGGGGUGGAAAUUACAGACAAGUUACAGCGAGUCGAUUCACUGUGCUCGAGCCAGUUCUACAGAUUGCUGAGUGGAUGUUGGGGACUGGAACGAAGUGGUGGAUGGUUUUAUGGUCGUCGAUGAUCCCGAUGCAACCGCCGAUUUCUCCGAUCUUUUUCGCCGAUCCUCGUUCGUGUAAUAACGGGAGUAGGGCGAAUUGUCCCACACCUGGGGUAUCUCGUAUCCCAGUUCAUUCACAGCGCCAUAACUGGAACAGAAAUUCUGCUUAUUAAUAUAAUUAAAUUUUAAAAAUAUGUAAAACUUGUUUCGUUAAACUUACUCGUAAUUUUUACGAUCGUAGAAGGCAUUGUUGAGCGUAUUGGAACGAGAUGGUUUCUCCUCUUCGAUGAGAGCUGCUUUUAAUCCGCCUAAUCCUGACGCGGCUAGAGUUCCUUGGAUCGAGACAAGGAAUUAUGAUAAAUCAAAAUGCUCGGAGAUUUACGAUGGGAGAAACUUACUCUUUUCCGCGGUGGACGAAUAGGACGAGCUAGGAUUGUUCUCUGGUUGAUGGUUCUGUUGGUUGCCGAACAUCAACAUUUCCUGUGCCCGUUUAGCUAAACAGUCAAAACAGGAUUAACAGGUUUGUUGGCAAGGAUUGGACAAUCAUGAGGAGGGAGCACAGAGUGAGUAGUAACCACACCCAAUCGCACAUCAUCUGUGAAGAAAGAUUGAUCCUUUUAUAUUAUCCUUUUAUAAUUUUUAUUCAAUUUUAUACUGGAGGGUAUAAUAGGUCUGAUACAAGUAUAUAUAUAUAUUGGCUAAGGUUAUGCAAAGGGUUUCUUGACCCUUUAAUCAAACGUGAAAUUGAUUGUGCAGUUAGAAGGGUUGCUAUAAAGUGUUUCCCCUCGUGCACACACGUUGACGUUUACACCCCUCGCAGUUAAAUGAAGAUAGCAGGUCACAACGAAAGAAUCUUAAAUGUCACACAAAUGCGAAAUGUCAGGAAUCUAUUUCCAUUGCAUGUGAAAAAUUAAAGGGCAUAUACGUCGCAACGUUCCAUAG
rnacentral:lncRNA from 11 species